UUAUAGUGCAUUAAAAUUUCAUUGCAAAUAAUAUUAAUUAGCGUACAGCGACGGAUAAAUUGAUCGCUAAUUUAUUGUUGAUACUUUACUAGUUUAUCAUUGAUAUUUUAUUGACGAGGGUAUCAGCAACGAAUUAAAAUUUAUCAUUGAAAGUUAAAUUUUUUAAUUGGCAACAGAUUAGGUCAUUAUUGAAAAUUUCAUCCCUAAUAAGCUUUAUUGAUGAGUCCGUCCCUAAUUUUUAUUAUCAG
rnacentral:misc_RNA from 1 species